UGGCGGACGGGUGAGUAACGCGUGGGCAACCUGCCGCAUACCGGGGGAUAACACUUAGAAAUAGGUGCUAAUACCGCAUAAGCGCACAGAGCCGCAUGGCUUGGUGUGAAAAACUCCGGUGGUAUGCGAUGGGCCCGCGUCUGAUUAGCUUGUUGGCGGGGCAGCGGCCCACCAAGGCGACGAUCAGUAGCCGGCCUGAGAGGGUGGACGGCCACAUUGGGACUGAGACACGGCCCAGACUCCUACGGGAGGCAGCAGUGGGGAAUAUUGCACAAUGGGGGGAACCCUGAUGCAGCGACGCCGCGUGAGUGAAGAAGUAUUUCGGUAUGUAAAGCUCUAUCAGCAGGGAAGAAAAUGACGGUACCUGACUAAGAAGCCCCGGCUAACUACGUGCCAGCAGCCGCGGUAAUACGUAGGGGGCAAGCGUUAUCCGGAUUUACUGGGUGUAAAGGGAGCGCAGACGGCUGUGCAAGUCUGGAGUGAAAGGCGGGGGCCCAACCCCCGGACUGCUCUGGAAACUGUAAAGCUGGAGUGCAGGAGAGGUAAGCGGAAUUCCUAGUGUAGCGGUGAAAUGCGUAGAUAUU
rnacentral:rRNA from 1 species